UACGUAGGCAGCGAGCGUUGUUCGGAGUUACUGGGCGUAAAGGGUGUGUAGGCGGGUCUUUAAGUUUGGUGUGAAAUCUCCCGGCUCAACCGGGAGGGUGCGUCGAAUACUGAGGGACUAGAGUGCGGGAGAGGAAAGUGGAAUUCCUGGUGUAGCGGUGAAAUGCGUAGAUAUCAGGAGGAACACCGGUGGUGUAGACGGCUUUCUGGACCGUAACUGACGCUGAGACACGAAAGCGUGGGUAGCAAACAGG
rnacentral:rRNA from 1 species